CAACUUCCAGUCUGAGUGGAACCGCUGUUUGUUUAUAUUUAACCCGUUUGCGCUACUCAACUUUUUACAAGCUUUUCAGUAAAACGAUGUGGGAACAUCAGUUGUCACAGCUCAGAAAGGACGACGUGACUAUCCCUCUGCCGACUGCAAUAGAUGGGUGGGAGGAUGAUAUGAAAAGGUGCCAAAUAUAACAUACAGUAGCAUUUUUAGCUACUUCCUUAGCGCCGUCGCGUCAGACGGUGAAGCCAUGAAUAAUCUUAAGAGGUCCGAGGCUUAUCAGUAUCUGCACAGUAAUAAAGUCGGUCGUGUUUUGUUGAAGGAGGUGCGACACAACCUUAUUUACUUAAAAUCUGACAGAGCCGAGCCAAAACCUUAAAAUCCCUCAUCACCAAGCCUGGGUUUUAGUCAAUUUGACAGGUGAAAUACAAACUGCAGGUUGUUCGUGUAUUGCGGGUCAAGGCAGAUCUUGCAGCCACGCUGCUGCCAUCCUGUGGAUGGUGACUAAAUCUAAUCUCAAGAUAGCUUUUGUGAUACUUUAUUUGUUUUUCAAUUUAUUGAACAGUGUAUGAUGUUUGUGCUAAAUAAGACAUUAGACAUUUGUGUGUGUGUGUGUGUGUGUUGGUUAAAAGUAUAUUUCAGUUGAAUUGUUUUCAAUGUCUAAAGUCUGACUAUUAAUGUUUAUGUAUUUUAAUUCAGGAUGAGAAUGCUGUCAGACAGGGAAAGACAGGGAGCUCUACACUGUACAAU